GGGGGGUUAUGUCACCGAAAGAGGUGGAGACUGGUGGUCUAAAGGGCAGGCUAUCCACCUAAACACUCCAGUCUGCCUCCCCAUACAUGCUGUGUGAAGAAGUGGAGGUGGAUGUUCCUACAACAUAGAAUUGGCUCAGCGUAUAUCUCCUAUAUAAGAUCAUUCUCCUGAUUGACCCGUCAAGGAUGGAUAGGGAUGGGGACAAGAUGGCAGAGAGUAUAAUAAAUCUCACCCUCGAGAUCCUUUUCCAGGUUACUGGAGAGGACUACACAGUAGUGAAGAAGACCUCUAGUGAGCAUUGUCAGGCCCCUGUGUUUGAAGGAUGGGGAAAAACCUGGGGCACAAUCUCUGGACGAACACCUCAACUCCUGAUACAUGGGAAACUCCACAAAGACAAGAUCCUUGAACUCACCAACAAGAUAUUUGCGCUGCUGACUGGAGAGGUUCCUAUAAGGUGUCAGGAUGUCGCUGUCUAUUUCUCCAU